AUGCUCAGGAAAAAAAACUGUUGCGUCGAUAGACCAUGCAGGUGUCUAGGUCUCUAGGAGUGAGGUGCAAUAGGAAUUUUAGUGGUGGAUAGUCAGGCUGGUUCAUCUCAAUUUCUGCAAAGUAUGCAUGUGUCAACUUGAUGAGUUGUCCGAAAUUUGACAGACUCGGGUGUCCAUGACACAAAAACUGUAGUUUCUUUUGUAAUUUUCUGUAAAUUUUAGUAAUGAAAUUAAGAAUUUCUCCAAUACACCUCCUUUGGAAAAUUGCAUGCAUCCUAAAGACAUCGGGUUAAUUAGUCAUUAUCAGGGCCUGGCGUGCGUGUUGCCCCUGUACAGCUGGAAUGUUGUCGGUAGUGGCAGAAUUAAUCAAGCUAGCCAAACAUUGGAAUUAACACAAGAAAUUAUUUAGAGUUGAGGAAUUUAGUUGCUGUGUGUUAAUCUGUUUAUUUAAUAUUUUAUUCUCUUCUGAUUUUGAACGCGGCAAGCCAUGUUCAUCUCUACUGAUAAAGCAUUUGGAAGAGCAGUCUUUUGCGCCUGUAGUUCGAUGUCUUUUCUUUUUCAUAGUGCUUACAGGGGAACGUUCUUAAUCUAUUAUAGUAAUUCUCAUUUUCUAUGUUUUGUAGAAAUUUCCAUUCUGUAUUUUUUUUGACAAAUUGAGAGAUUGGGGGUAAUGAUCCUUCCUCCGUAUGAAAAUAGCAUGGCAGAUGUGAUGGAGCCACACACUUUCAGAGAAUACGGUCAUGUUGCAGCAGCACACCCGUGGCAGCAUCGUCUUAUUCGCUUAAGCUUAUUAGCCGAAUCUACCAGUCAUUUAGCAAUGUUUUUCUAUCACAACAAAUCAGCCAACGGUAUUUUCUGUCAUGGCUUAUCGUUGGACAUGUGAUGGGAACCAAAGGGGAAUGGAGUGCCUGUCCGCUAUCUGCACGCCAUGGCAGAAUGAAGAGGACACUUUGUACAAAACGUCCGUCUAUAUUGAGCUUGUUAGAUGAUAAGACUUGUUCCCCAAUGUAUGUCACUAGUACACAGAACCUCGUGGUGAUUGUUGUAAACACAUUUCUACACGAGUUUCUUAGAACUGCCAGCGCUAGGAGCC
rnacentral:lncRNA from 1 species